rnacentral:rRNA from 1 species
UACGUAGGUGGCGAGCGUUGUCCGGAUUUACUGGGCGUAAAGAGCGCGCAGGCGGUCGUUCAAGUCGCGUGUGAAAGCCCCCGGCUCAACUGGGGAGGGUCACGCGAUACUGAUCGACUCGAAGGCAGGAGAGGGUAGUGGAAUUCCCGGUGUAGUGGUGAAAUGCGUAGAUAUCGGGAGGAAGGCCGGUGGCGAAGGCGGCGCUCUGGAACAUUUCUGACGCUGAGGCUCGAAGGCGUGGGGAGCAAACAGG